AGUCAUAUGCUUGUCUCAAAGAUUAAGCCAUGCAUGUCUCAGUACAAGCCAAAUUAAGGUGAAACCGCGAAAGGCUCAUUAAAUCAGUUAUGGUUCCUUAGAUCGUACCCACACUUACUUGGAUAACUGUGGUAAUUCUAGAGCUAAUACAUGCAAAUAGAGCUCCUACCGGAGACGGACGGAGCGCUUUUAUUAGAUCAAAACCAAUCGGUGUAAACCGUACAACUUGGUGACUCUGAAUAACUUGUUGCUGAUCGCACGGUCUAGAACCGGCGACGCAUCUUUCAAAUGUCUGCCUUAUCAACUGUCGAUGGUAGGUUCUGCGCCUACCAUGGUUGUAACGGGUAACGGGGAAUCAGGGUUCGAUUCCGGAGAGGGAGCCUGAGAAACGGCUACCACAUCCAAGGAAGGCAGCAGGCGCGCAAAUUACCCACUCCCGGCACGGGGAGGUAGUGACGAAAAAUAACGAUACGGGACUCAUCCGAGGCCCCGUAAUCGGAAUGAGUACACUCUAAACCCUUUAACGAGGAUCAAUUGGAGGGCCAGUCUGGUGCCAGCAGCCGCGGUAAUUCCAGCUCCAAUAGCGUAU
rnacentral:rRNA from 1 species